GAGACGGACACCUGAACGUCCUGAAGGACUCUCUGAGAUACAGAAAUGAAUUGAGUGACAUGAGCAGGAUGUGGGGCCACCUGAGCGAGGGGUAUGGCCAGCUGUGCAGCAUCUACCUGAAACCGCUAAGAAC